CCUACGGGAGGCAGCAGUGAGGAAUAUUGGUCAAUGGGCGGGAGCCUGAACCAGCCAAGUCGCGUGAGGGAAGACGGUCCUAUGGAUUGUAAACCUCUUUAGGCGGGGAGCAAUGCCGGGCACGCGUGCCCGGAGGGAGAGUACCCGCAGAAUAAGCAUCGGCUAACUCCGUGCCAGCAGCCGCGGUAAUACGGAGGAUGCGAGCGUUAUCCGGAUGUAUUGGGUUUAAAGGGUGCGUAGGCGGAUUUUUAAGUCAGCGGUAAAAUGUCCGGGCUCAACCCGGGCCGGCCGUUGAAACUGGGGAUCUUGAGUGGGCGAGAAGUAUGCGGAAUGCGUGGUGUAGCGGUGAAAUGCACAGAUAUCACGCAGAACUCCGAUUGCGAAGGCAGCAUACCGGCGCCCGACUGACGCUGAGGCACGAAAGCGUGGGGAUCGAACAGGAUUAGAUACCCUAGUAGUC
rnacentral:rRNA from 1 species